CCCUCGUAGUCCUAGACUAUACCGGUUUCAAGACCGGAGCUAUCAACCACUCAGCCAUCUCUCC
rnacentral:tRNA from 1 species